rnacentral:snRNA from 1 species
GAUCUGGCCGCAACAUCUAUCACCCCAUUGAUCACAAGGGUUGAUUCAGUGGAUGUGGCUGGGUAGGUGGGUGUCGCAAUAGAAGAGGGACAUUCUUUAGUCAGGGAUAUACGAGCAGUUGCACUCCCCUGCCAGAACCCAGAUAAGCUCUCAAGGUCCAUUUGUAGGCAAAGGUGGGGUAGUCAAGCUUCCAAGACUCCAGACACAUCCAAAUGAGGUGCUGCAUGUGGUAGUCUACUUUUCUUU